GACGAACGCUGGCGGCGUGCUUAACACAUGCAAGUCGAACGAUGAAGCCUAGCUUGCUAGGUGGAUUAGUGGCGAACGGGUGAGUAAUACGUGAGUGACCUACCUUUGACUCUGGGAUAAGCCUGGGAAACUGGGUCUAAUACCGGAUACGACCAAUCUCCGCAUGGGGUGUUGGUGGAAAGCGUUAUGGAGUGGUUUUAGAUGGGCUCACGGCCUAUCAGCUUGUUGGUGAGGUAAUGGCUUACCAAGGCGACGACGGGUAGCCGGCCUGAGAGGGUGACCGGCCACACUGGGACUGAGACACGGCCCAGACUCCUACGGGAGGCAGCAGUGGGGAAUAUUGCACAAUGGGCGCAAGCCUGAUGCAGCGACGCCGCGUGAGGGAUGACGGCCUUCGGGUUGUAAACCUCUGUUAGCAUCGAAGAAGCGAAAGUGACGGUAGGUGCAGAGAAGCGCCGAAAACUAC
rnacentral:rRNA from 1 species